rnacentral:lncRNA from 1 species
ACAGCCUUGGGGGCCUUUAAAAGGAACCGGAAGUGUCGUGAGCUAAGACAGUCGCGCGGGGACCAUCGAGAACAAGGAGUGCUGUUUCGAAGUAGCGGCUAGAGGGGCCCCCUGCCUCCGCCCCCGCCCUUCCGAGGAUUCCUGGAGUCCACUCACCCCUCCCCACCACUCCAGUAGCGGCGGGAGCAGCAGCGUUAGGCCGGGGUGUGGCUGCACCUCUGCGAAGGCUGUCGUGCCCCGUGCAGCUGCGGCGUUCGGGUGGGGGAGGGGAGGCUCACACCCUGCGGCGGCUUAAGCCUGGAUUUACGCACUGGAGGAGGGAAUUAGCCCUGAGAUGUCAGCCCUGUGCCCCUGGCGCUGUCCACCCGGACGCCCGCGGAGCGCCAGGCGCCGCAGCGGACCGCGCGCGCACUGAUUGCCGCAGCUACUCUCCCUGCCGUCGCCGCCCGGGACCGGGUGACAUUGAGGUUUUCGUCUAUCGCCGCUGGGCCGAUAGGGCUUCUUUUUAAGAUUUGGCUUUCCAAGUAAGAUUUUUGUUUGCCUGCUUUUCUCCUGGAAUUUUUUUGUUUUUGGUCGAAGAAGCAGGUAACUUGCAUAUCUUAAGGAAAACAUUGUUUUUGCUUUGCUUUUGUUGUUUAAAGAUCCUAAAACGUACCGUGAUUCCUUUACGUUACUAAUAAUUGGAAAGUGUGUUAAAUCAAGGGUUCGCUUAAUGUUCUUUAGCCUUUGUACAUAGAAUAUAUAAAUGUCGUGAGUCAUCUUUACGAGGUUUAUGA